CAUAAGCAACAGCAGCAGCAGCAGCAUAAGCAGCAGCACCUGCUGCUGCUUAAGUGGUAAGAGGCUGCGCAGGCGCACCACACAUCCUCGGACCAAGGAGCGCCCCCCCCCCGCCCAUCUCUGGGGGCCUUUUUCAGGCCCCCAGACAUGGGUCUGUCUUCGGCGCCGCCUGAUGCAGUGAGAAAGUCCUGUGAAGGUAGACCUCUCCUGGCUGUUUUCCUUGCCGUGCAAUCUAGGCCACGAAGAAGGGACACACGUGAAAGCUUCAGGAGGGUGGAUCGUGGCUGGGUGAAAGGCCACUGCGGAGUUGGGUGAAUCGGGCCUUUUCAGGCAGUACAGGAGGCGCCAGGUCGAAGGGCUUCUCCCGUUGGCCUUAAGAGCUCGAGGCUUGAGCCGAGACCCUUAGCAGCUGGUAUCAGUGCAGGUUGAAGAUCCGAAGUCUCGACUUCCGGGAAAACAUGGCGGACAGAUAACAGCAGCUACGGAGGCUCUCUAAAAGACUCGGCUCAGAAGUCAGGAGUGGUGCGGAGUAAGGAGACAUAAGCAGGUGGAGAUAUGCUCUGCUGACCCAGGAACGAACUAGGCUGAGAGAAACCAACUUAGAAUGCAGUCCUGGUGCUAGAACAGGAACAGAGGGGUCUCAGUGUGGAGGCUGGAGCCUGCGCCAUUGGAAGCCGUGAUUUGGGUUUCCCGCCGCUCAGCAGCUGCGUCUACAUCAGCUCGGCAGUGAGAGAGAUGCACAGAAGCUCUGAGAACGGGAAUCUGUGAACGGAGUUGAAAACAGGAUGGGCGGGGAGCCGUGCACUGACUUGUGGUGAGGUGAGUGAGAGAAACUGACACUCUACCACAGUUUGACUCCAGCGGAGGACAUUCUGGGACUGGGCAGACUUGUGGGAGCGGGGCGCUGCAGCGACUCCAGCCACGUAUCCCCCUCUCAAGCAGGAUUGGUGAGAAGUGCCUAGGCUACGUGAUGCUGCUGGCGGACCCAGUAGGCUAGCCCAACCCAGAUCCCAGAGCCUGAGGGUGGCCUGGAGGGGCAGGCCCCGCGUAGGCUGCCUGGUCUGGAACUUCCUGGUGUGCUGUGGUGGGCAGGAACACCUAGCUGGCGCAAUUCGAUCAGGCUGUGGCUGACAGGGAGGGAAGCUGGGCCUCCUAUAUAAGCUUGCAUAUAUAAGGAACAAAGAAUAUGGGAAGAGGCAGCAACAAGAAAGGCUCCUCGGCCCCUAAUCCUGAGAAACAGGUAAUAGCGGUCACCACACCAAUAGACAUAAAGCGCCAUCUAGAGAGCCUCAUAGAUUAGUUCAGGAAUGAAGUUAUUAAUGACCUGAAGCUAGAAGUAAGCAGAAUAGUUAGAGAAAUGCUAAGCACCACACAAGAAAAAACGGAUGGUGGAAUGGAAGAACAGAAAAAGAGGGGAGAAUUGUUUGAUGGAGAAAAUAGAGAAAGCAUAGAAUACGUGAAGCAGGUUCAAAGGGACUACCAGGAAACUAAAAACUCUAUUGAAAACUGGCAUAACAGCUUGAAAGAAACUAAGGACAGACUAUCUGAACUGGAGGGCAGAUUUAUAAUAUGGGAGAAUGAAAGGAAAAACUUCUUAAAAAUAACAAAGAAACAAACAGCAAUAAUACAAAGACAAGAAGAUGAUAAGAGGAUCCAUAACUUAAGAAUUAAGAACAUAAAAGAAGAAGUAGGGACACAAACAAGUGAACUACAAAAGCUACUCACAGAAAUAAUCCAGGAGAAUUUUCCUAAUUUAGCAAAAGGUAAAGAUACUCAGAUGUAUGAGGCACACAGGACCCCAGCCACCUACAACUCAAACAGAGCAACACCCAGGCAUAUAAUAAUAAAAAUUCCAGAAAUUCAAUACAAGAACAGAAUAUUAAAAGCUGUCAGAGACAAGAAACAGACCACUUACAAGGGAGCACCCAUCAGAAUUACAGCAGAUUUCUCUGCACAAACCAUCAAAUCAUGAAGAGCGUGGGGGGAAAUAAUUCAAGCUUUGAAAGAUAAUAAUCUCCAGCCAAGAUUGAGAUAUCCUGCACAACUGUCCCUGGAAAUUGAUGGAAAAACAAGGUGCUUCCAGGAUAAAGAGGAACUGGGGGAAUUUGCAACCACCAAUUCAACUCUACAGAGAGUAUUGCAGGAUAUUCUAAAAAAAGAAAAAUACAGAGAAUCCAGAAAUAGUGGGGGGGAGGCCACAAUGAAUGGAGCAGAGAACAAAAUGAAGAAGACAAACUGACAGCUACUGACAGAAAAAGAGCUCAACAGAAAUGAGGCAGAGAAGAUUGGAUGAUAGGAACUGCUAUUUUGGAGAAAAUGAUGUCUUAAUAUGUAAUACUGAUUUAGUAUCAUCUUGUUUUGAAGUCUCAUCAAUGAAAUCUCAUUUUGUUCUUCUGUCUCCAUUGGUCUAAACAGGUUGUAUCUUAUUGGAUUUUAUUAUGUACGAUAGUAUAAGCAAAAACUUUUAAAGACAAGGAGAUUAUACAGAAACCAGUGUUCAUUUUCUGUUAGUUGAUUCUAAAUACCCUGUAAUGCUGUCAUUCUCUUAAAUGGUUUUACAUUGUUUUGAUAUAUUUAAUGCUACAGUAUACAAAGUUGUACUCAAGGAUUUCAAGGAAAGACACAAUAUGGUAACUACUUUUAUGUCAGGAUUAUCUUGUGGUGAAACACUAUUCUGCUUAAAUGGUUGUGUUUUGAUCUGCGCUGUUUUGCUGUUAUGCCCUCUUUUAUCUCAAUCUCCACUCCAUUAUUUACUUUUUUAUUUUUAUCCUUUUAAUUAAGGGAAAAAUAAAUAAAAAUAGCAGGAUAUAUUAUAGUAACCCACUUUGACUUUCCAUUAUCUUGAUUUGAAGCCCUGUGUUGCUCUCACCAUCUUGUUUUUGACUGAUGUUCCUCUAUUCUGUUUUGCUGGAUAGUACCAGGUUCGAAAGUUUAGGCAACAGCUGUGAAGAUAGUGAGAUUCAUUAUGACGCCCAUUCUCGUUGACUUUUAUCUACUUUUGAAGACCUACAAUGUAUCCAAUGUUUUGGUUUUGUUGGUUUUGUUCUUUAUUGCUUUGUUCAAUUUUAUUAUAACUGAUGAUAUAGGCAAUUCUAUUAGAGAUAGCGGGAGGCAUUAUGGUAACCAUUAUUGAUCACCUUGUAUUAUGCUUUUACAUUAUCUAUUAUGUCCACCCUUUUGAUUUGAUUGACUCUGUUCUGUUAAGUCACAUUUGGUUCUACUCCCUUCCACAAAAGUAGUAAGAACUGUGGGAGCAACAAAACCCAAAAUGUGUAAUUGUCAUUGUACAAAAGAGGAAAAGAAAGGGCUCUAAAUGAUAUAACUGCAGGUAUAUUUAAGUGUAUAAGAUAGAAAAUGAUAUCACUGAGUUUUAUUGGAUCAUUGAACAGAACUUUUGCAGUAUCAUUGUUGGAAUGUCCACUUUACAAGCUUUAAUUUUGUGACUUGAACAAUUAUUUCUAAGAUGACAAUAUGUAAUCCAUUAACUAGUGAUUUCCUACUGUUUAUUUUUUUCUGUAAAUCUGUAUAACUGGUAUCCUUUCUCUGCUUUUUUUUCUCCUUAAAUAAAUUAAAAAAAAAAAAAGAAGAAGAUCCGAAGUCUCAAAUUCUCCAAGCCCUGGAACCUUAAGGGCAAACACCAUGCCACAAGGAGACCCCACAGAUGACUCCCUGUGACCCUCACAGUCAAAGCACAGGUGUGUGGCAGCUUCUCCCCAGAUGCCUGCUGGCCUGAAGCCUGAAGCCUGAAGCCCACUGUCUCCAGCCCCAACAGCAUGCUGGCGAGGGUCAGAGCUGGGUGCAAGGAGGGGGCUGAGCUGGGGCCACUGGACUCACUUGAGGUCCAGGAGAUGGAGCUAAAGCGUUAGGUUCUAUUUAUGAAGGAGACAACUGUUUCUGGGAAUUAUGUCCAGUUUCAUUUCCACAUGGGAUAGAUGAAAAGGUGACCCCCAAUGCCUUUUUAGUAGAGAUUUCCUGGAUAGAAACAUACCUCCAGCCCUGCCCCAAUUACAUGUAUGAAGGCUUUUAAAAAAACAAUAACAUAUCAUCGCUGUAAAACAAAGUAAACUGAAGUUCCGGGAAGCAGUGGAAAUUAACCUGAGAACAGCAGUGACCUAUACAUCCUUUGACUACGCCAAGGAGAAUAAAGAGCUGUUUGCAGAGAAUCACUGUCCCAUUCGUUCAACAUCCAUAGCACUGUCAUCUCAGUUGAAACUCCUAAUGUUAUGGCUUGUGUCUAGAUGCCCCUCCAAAGCCUCCUGCAGUCAUAGGUGGGGCAUUGUCAGAGGUGACCAGAUCUAGAGUGUGUGAUAGGUGCAGUGUUAAGAUUAAGGGUGGGUGGUUACUAAAUCAGCCCACUGAUUGGUUUGGUCCUAAUCCUGGCAGCAUGGAUACAGAAAUAAACUCAUCUUACCCUCUCCCUUGAUGCCCACCAAGAACUUUUCCUGUGCCUCUCCACCUUGCCUGGAGUCAGCUGAGGGUGGACUGAAACCUCUACAAACUGGGAGCUAAAUAAACCUCCCUUAUCUUGUGGGUGUUGGGUAUUUUGUCUAUCUAACAAGAGAAAUGUAAUUAACACACCUAGUAUAACCCCAUCAAGUUAGAAAAACGACAAAAAGGACAACUUUCAAAAACUCAGAAACACAAACUGGCAGAUAAAACAGAUCAGGAAGAGGAGCUUGCUCCGGGCUGGAAUUGGGUUGAUUUGGUGAAGCACUGAGGAGCACAGACCUGAAGGGGACAACUAGCCCUUGGAAUCUGAGAUAAGGGAAGAGUGUCCCUUAGAAAGUAAACUGGUUUCCACAGCUUUCAUUACCAUUUUCUGGUACUGAGGUGUUUUUUUUUUUUUUUUUUUUUA